UCAUCUCAAGAGUAUACAAACCUAUAUAAAGGCAAAGAACGGUGUAACAUUUUAGGCAUACAUACAUCUUCCUCUUUGGAAAAUUCUGUCGGUUUCGCAUGUACUACACGGCGUGUGUAUGGGAAAAGUUUAUGACAAAAAAAUAGGCAUCGUCAAACUUUUCGCUAUUCAAAAAUAGAGGCUUUCAGCUUUCAUUUGCAGGGUCCCUCAAAAAAAUCCACCGAGGGAUACCGAACAACUUUUUCAGAAUACUGUUUUUCCCCAUACAAAAUGCACGGUUCCAAAUUAAUCCCUAUUUCUACUUAAGAAACAUACCCAAUUUUUGUAUGAAAAAGUUCCCCCGAUGGAAUAUUUCGAUGUUGGGCUUGAAUGAAAGCUGGUAGCGUCAACUUUCACGUAGCGUAAAAAUUAGCGAUGCCCAUUUUUUGUAAUAAAUUUGUUCUACCAGACACACCGUGACUAGUAUGUACUCUGUUUGAACUGUUCCCAGCUAAAAUGUGUCACCCUAACUCUAAAGGAUUUAUGGUUACUUCUGAACGUCCUCAUGCUCUUUCAGAGCUCUCGUCUAGCGAGCAAUGGUUGUGAGUUCAAAUCUCUCCUGAGCUGCUGAUUUUUGUCUUAUUUCACAUUUAUCCUGCUGUACAUGUGUACAUUGAGUUACUUAGAAAUCAUAAUUGACCACACGGAUUGGUAUUCCAAAACUUUGCCCUUUGAGUACCUCUUUUCGAGAAUGAAAAAAAAUCAACUAGGUUUUAAAAUGGUUUCAAUGCUACUCUUAAUGCGGUUUGCAAAACCUCUCCGAGAGUGAUUCACUUAGCCGGAAGAUGCUCUUAAAGAGAUCAUCAAGAGGUUUUGAUGCAUAAAUCAGUUUUUUUCAUAUGUUUUAUGAAAUAGGUCAUGAAGAUCUCUUAUAGAGCCGAACAAAACGUAAAAUGUUACUUGGGUUAAUUAAGGUCAAUCCUGCGUAACAGUUUUGUUGGGUAUGAGUGCCUUAAGUAAUCUCACGUUCUCAAAUUCAUCCUGUUCGAAAACAGGCGAUUACGGCAUCGUUCUUUUUGUUUUCAUGCGUGCUUACUUCUAACAAAAAAACCCGGAUUUAUCCACCUAGUGGUGAUAGUGCCUUUCUCGUCAAAUAUGUACUCCUGAUCUUUCUGUCGACCUAAGUCGUAGUCCUGAAUCCUGUGAAUACUUUAUUUAUAAAAGCCAGAAUUUUAUCCAAGCCAUCAUCGAGUUAGGAAACUUAUUGAUUGCACAUAUUCCGACGUUAUGUUCAAUGUACAGGCAGUGUUGGCGAGGCUAUCGCCGCCACCGCACCUUAUUCCUAAUCUACCUUGAACACCGAACACUAUCGCACACUCACUACGACAGGUAACAACAAUGACUGUCAAAUGUAGGUAGAAAGAGGAUUAAAACAAAACAAACAACUUAGCUUAACUCCCAAAAGUGAUCAGUGGUGUAACAAUUAUUGAUAUAGUGCUUACAGCUAUUGGUUCUAAUCAUAAAUUUAGGUUCUAAUUCUUAACGUCUGGCUAGCUAGAAAAUGGUGUGCUAUGAAAGCUUAUCCUAUCUGCAUAGUUCGAACUAAUUUCAACAACUAAAACUAAUUUGGUAAGAAGACAUGCAAUGAAAUUUCUUUACAAUAGCUAUCUUAUUUUCUAAUCUAAACUAUUGAAUUAUACAGUCACGGAAUUGCUGACUUGACAGACAUCGAAGUGUACGAUCCGACUAUAGGGGACUAAACGUAAGUCGACAGAUAACAUACAUUGUACAGACAGAAAUCAUGCAUGGACACACAAGACACUCAAAUGCUUAAAAAACAUACUAUCAAUGUGAAUUUAAAGACUAAAACUAACUUAACAUAUAUAUACAAUUGCUAUUUCUCAGGAAUAUUAUAAUCUACCGUUUACUACACCGA